GAUGAACGCUAGCGGCAGGCCUAACACAUGCAAGUCGAGGGAGAAGCUUUCGGGCUGAAACCGGCGCACGGGUGCGUAACGCGUAUACAAUCUGCCUUUCACAUAGGGAUAGCCCGAAGAAAUUUGGAUUAAUACCUAAUGGUAUAUAAGAGCGGCAUCGUUUUUAUAUUAAAGCUACGGUGGUGAAAGAUGAGUAUGCGUUCUAUUAGCUAGUUGGAGAGGUAACGGCUCCCCAAGGCGACGAUAGAUAGGGGUUCUGAGAGGGAUGUCCCCCACACUGGUACUGAGAUACGGACCAGACUCCUACGGGAGGCAGCAGUGAGGAAUAUUGGACAAUGGUCGGAAGACUGAUCCAGCCAUGCCGCGUGCAGGAUGAAGGUCCUAUGGAUUGUAAACUGCUUUUGUAAGGGAAGAAUAAGGAGUACGUGUACU
rnacentral:rRNA from 1 species